GUUCUGAGAUUAAAAGACACAGGAAACUGGUCUUCUGUGGCAGUGUCGGAUAUUUGAAACGAUAUUAACCAGGGCACUGGUGUCUUCGUCAACAUGAUACAAACUAAGGUGACCUGGGCAGUUGAGGAAUUGCCUCCAUCAGGAAGGUGGCUGGAAAGAUGGCUCAGAGAUUAAGAGCUCUGGCUGCUGUUACAGCCAGAGGCACCAGAUCCCCUGGAACUGUGGUUGCUGGCAGUUAUGAGCUGCUUCAUGUGGCUACUGGGAACUAAAUGUGGACCCUCUGCAAGUGCAGCAUGUGCUCUUAGCAUCCCUGGAACUCAUGAUUUUCAUACAACUGGCACAGCAAAUCGGGAAUAUCUCAUCAGGUGCCAGAAUGGAAUUAUCACUAUGUCAAGCAUUUGAGCACUUAUGUGUACCUACCACCUAAUCAAAGAAGACCCUCUUUAAAGCAAAUGAAAACCAUCAUAGAAAACUACAACUGAACAUAAUGCAAAAAUCAACAGAUCAUGAGGAAGCAAGCCCCAGUGAAUAUAUCUACACCACAGUUCCUUAAUCUGUGGCUCACGGAACAUUGCAGAAGAGUGGACUGGAGUGGAAAAGAUUGUAAGAGCCAGAGUAUCACAAGUCUUGUACAAAACAGUCUCUUCUAGAAACGGCUUCAGAAACAAGACUGGAGCAAUAACAAUGGUAAUGGAUGAGUUCACAUAGAAGAAGGGAAAUUUCACAGGGUUCCAUACCUAAACAAGGAACUACAGGCAACUAUUGACAGCUGAGAGAAAAAUUUAGCCUCUACCAUGGAUUAGGCCUCUUACUGAUUGUCUAAUGCAGAGAGGCAACACUAACUUUCCUGUGGUGAAGUGUGAGGAGCGGGAUGAUAAACUCUUCUUCCAUGAAGUCUUCAUAUCAGUACAAUCAUUUAACCCAAGUAAACUGGAAGGUUGAAUAUAUAACCCAAAAGGUCAUGGGGAAGAAGGAUAGGAGCUGAUGAUGUCCAUCAGUUUAUCAAGAAACCAAAUAUCAAAAUAAGGUAAGUUUACUUGUUGCAAUGACAACUUGGAAGUCAGGAUUGAUGAAGCGCAAUUCCUUUGUGGACUGCUUUAACAAAUGAUUCAUCUUGAUGCUCCACAGAACAACAGUGACUUGGAAAUUAUCCAUAAGGAUAGCAGAAUUAAAGGGUGACCCAAAAGUAGGGGCAUCUGGGUAUGAAGACAUUAGAAAGGCAUUAAGUAAAAGUGACUCUAACUUG
rnacentral:lncRNA from 1 species